rnacentral:misc_RNA from 1 species
UUUCCGUAGGUGAACCUGCGGAAGGAUCAUUCAUAAUAAAGUGUUUUAUGGCGCUUUUUAAAAAUCCAUAUCCACCUUGUGUGCAAUGUUAGAUCUCGUCAAUCUUGGCGAGAUUUUUAUACAUCAACUCAUUCUUUAACUAAUUUGUCUGAAAAAUAUUAUGAAUACUUAAUUCAAAAUACAACUUUCAACAACGGAUCUCUUGGCUCUC